UUUUUUUUAAACAAUUACCCCAAAACAUAUUUACCAUACAGAGAAGAUUAGCAUGGCCCCUUGCGCAAGGAUGACACGCAAAUUCGUGAAGCGUUCCAUAUUUUC